rnacentral:rRNA from 1 species
CGGGAAUUUUGGGCAAUGGGCGAAAGCCUGACCCAGCAACGCCGCGUGAGGGAUGAAGUAUUUCGGUAUGUAAACCUCGAAAGAAUGGGAAGAAUAAAUGACGGUACCAUUUAUAAGCUCCGGCUAACUACGUGCCAGCAGCCGCGGUAAUACGUAGGGAGCAAGCGUUGUUCGGAUUUACUGGGCGUAAAGGGCGCGUAGGCGGCGCGGUAAGUCACUUGUGAAAUCUCUGAGCUUAACUCAGAACGGCCAAGUGAUACUGCUGUGCUAGAGUGCGGAAGAGGCAACCGGAAUUCUCGGUGUAGCGGUGAAAUGCGUAGAUAUCAAGAGGAACACCUGAGGCGAAGGCGGGUUGCUGGGCCGACACUGACGCUGAUGCGCGAAAGCCAGGGGAGCAAGCG